AGAGUUUGAUUAUGGCUCAGGAUGAACGCUAGCUACAGGCUUAACACAUGCAAGUCGAGGGGCAGCGGGAGGAAAGCUUGCUUCCUGCCGGCGACCGGCGAAUGGGUGAGUAACACGUAUCCAACCUGCCCCCGACCGGGGGAUAGCCCUCCGAAAGGAGAAUUAACACCCCAUGGGUGUCCGCGCGGCAUCGCGCGGCCAUGAAAGGCUACGGUCGGGGAUGGGGAUGCGUCCGAUUAGAUAGUAGGCGGGGUAACGGCCCACCUAGUCCGCGAUCGGUAGGGGUCCUGAGAGGAAGGUCCCCCACACUGGAACUGAGACACGGUCCAGACUCCUACGGGAGGCAGCAGUGAGGAAUAUUGGUCAAUGGGCGGAAGCCUGAACCAGCCAAGUAGCGUAGAAGGACGACGGCCCUACGGGUUGUAAACUUCUUUUAUGCGGGAACAAAGUGCGCCACGCGUGGCGCUUUGCGCGUACCGCAGGAAAAAGCACCGGCUAAUUCCGUGCCAGCAGCUGC
rnacentral:rRNA from 1 species